rnacentral:rRNA from 1 species
GGUUAAGCGACUAAGCGUACACGGUGGAUGCCUAGGCAGUCAGAGGCGAUGAAGGGCGUGCUAAUCUGCGAAAAGCGUCGGUAAGCUGAUAUGAAGCGUUAUAACCGACGAUACCCGAAUGGGGAAACCCAGUGCAAUACGUUGCACUAUCGUUAGAUGAAUACAUAGUCUAACGAGGCGAACCGGGGGAACUGAAACAUCUAAGUACCCCGAGGAAAAGAAAUCAACCGAGAUUCCCCCAGUAGCGGCGAGCGAACGGGGAGGAGCCCAGAGUCUGAAUCAGUUUGUGUGUUAGUGGAAGCGUCUGGAAAGUCGCACGGUACAGGGUGAUAGUCCCGUACACCAAAAUGCACAGGCUGUGAACUCGAUGAGUAGGGCGGGACACGUGACAUCCUGUCUGAAUAUGGGGGGACCAUCCUCCAAGGCUAAAUACUCCUGACUGACCGAUAGUGAACCAGUACCGUGAGGGAAAGGCGAAAAGAACCCCGGCGAGGGGAGUGAAAUAGAACCUGAAACCGUGUACGUACAAGCAGUGGGAGCACCUUCGUGGUGUGACUGCGUACCUUUUGUAUAAUGGGUCAGCGACUUAUAUUUUGUAGCAAGGUUAACCGAAUAGGGGAGCCGUAGGGAAACCGACUCUUAACUGGGCGUCUAGUUGCAAGGUAUAGACCCGAAACCCGGUGAUCUAGCCAUGGGCAGGUUGAAGGUUGGGUAACACUAACUGGAGGACCGAACCGACUAAUGUUGAAAAAUUAGCGGAUGACUUGUGGCUGGGGGUGAAAGGCCAAUCAAACCGGGAGAUAGCUGGUUCUCCCCGAAAGCUAUUUAGGUAGCGCCUCGUGAACUCAUCUUCGGGGGUAGAGCACUGUUUCGGCUAGGGGGCCAUCCCGGCUUACCAAACCGAUGCAAACUCCGAAUACCGAAGAAUGUUAUCACGGGAGACACACGGCGGGUGCUAACGUCCGUCGUGAAGAGGGAAACAACCCAGACCGCCAGCUAAGGUCCCAAAGUCAUGGUUAAGUGGGAAACGAUGUGGGAAGGCACAGACAGCCAGGAUGUUGGCUUAGAAGCAGCCAUCAUUUAAAGAAAGCGUAAUAGCUCACUGGUCGAGUCGGCCUGCGCGGAAGAUGUAACGGGGCUAAACCAUGCACCGAAGCUGCGGCAGCGACGUUUAGGCGUUGUUGGGUAGGGGAGCGUUCUGUAAGCCGUUGAAGGUGACCUGUGAGGGUUGCUGGAGGUAUCAGAAGUGCGAAUGCUGACAUAAGUAACGAUAAUGCGGGUGAAAAACCCGCACGCCGGAAGACCAAGGGUUCCUGUCCAACGUUAAUCGGGGCAGGGUGAGUCGACCCCUAAGGCGAGGCUGAAAAGCGUAGUCGAUGGGAAACAGGUUAAUAUUCCUGUACUUGGUGUUACUGCGAAGGGGGGACGGAGAAGGCUAGGCUGGCCGGGCGACGGUUGUCCCGGUUUAAGCGUGUAGGGGGAGUGACCAGGUAAAUCCGGUUGCUUAUCAACCCUGAGGCGUGAUGACGAUGCACCACGGUGCAGAAGCAGUUGAUGCCAUGCUUCCAGGAAAAGCCUCUAAGCAUCAGGUAACAUUAAAUCGUACCCCAAACCGACACAGGUGGUCAGGUAGAGAAUACUCAGGCGCUUGAGAGAACUCGGGUGAAGGAACUAGGCAAAAUGGUGCCGUAACUUCGGGAGAAGGCACGCUGGCGUUAGGUGAAAGGACUAGCUCUUGGAGCUGAAGCCAGUCGCAGAUACCAGCUGGCUGCAACUGUUUAAUAAAAACACAGCACUGUGCAAACACGAAAGUGGACGUAUACGGUGUGACGCCUGCCCGGUGCUGGAAGGUUAAUUGAUGGGGUCAGCCGCAAGGCGAAGCUCUUGAUCGAAGCCCCAGUAAACGGCGGCCGUAACUAUAACGGUCCUAAGGUAGCGAAAUUCCUUGUCGGGUAAGUUCCGACCUGCACGAAUGGCGUAAUGAUGGCCAGGCUGUCUCCACCCGAGACUCAGUGAAAUUGAACUCGCUGUGAAGAUGCAGUGUACCCGCGGCAAGACGGAAAGACCCCGUGAACCUUUACUAUAGCUUGACACUGAACAUUGAGCCUUGAUGUGUAAGAUAGGUGGGAGGCCUUGAAGUGUGGACGCCAGUCUGCAUGGAGCCAACCUUGAAAUACCACCCUUUAAUGUUUGAUGUUCUAACUCGGCCCCAUGAUCUGGGGUGAGGACAGUGUCUGGUGGGUAGUUUGACUGGGGCGGUCUCCUCCCAAAGAGUAACGGAGGAGCACGAAGGUUAGCUAAUCACGGUCGGACAUCGUGAGGUUAGUGCAAAGGCAUAAGCUAGCUUGACUGCGAGAGUGACGGCUCGAGCAGGUACGAAAGUAGGUCUUAGUGAUCCGGUGGUUCUGAAUGGAAGGGCCAUCGCUCAACGGAUAAAAGGUACUCCGGGGAUAACAGGCUGAUACCGCCCAAGAGUUCAUAUCGACGGCGGUGUUUGGCACCUCGAUGUCGGCUCAUCACAUCCUGGGGCUGAAGUAGGUCCCAAGGGUAUGGCUGUUCGCCAUUUAAAGUGGUACGCGAGCUGGGUUUAGAACGUCGUGAGACAGUUCGGUCCCUAUCUGCCGUGGGCGUUGGAAGAUUGAGAGGGGCUGCUCCUAGUACGAGAGGACCGGAGUGGACGAAUCACUGGUGUUCGGGUUGUCAUGCCAAUGGCAUUGCCCGGUAGCUAAAUUCGGAAGAGAUAACCGCUGAAAGCAUCUAAGCGGGAAACUUGCCUCGAGAUGAGUCUUCCCUGGGGCUUAAAGCCCCCUGAAGGAACGUUAAAGACUAUGACGUUGAUAGGCUGGGUGUGUAAGUGCAGCGAUGUAUUGAGCUAACCAGUACUAAUGAUCCGUGAGGCUUAACCUUACAACACC